CUGGAUCAUGAUGGACCACAGAUCAGCACUGCUCCUUUUAGUCAUCUCUGUAAUGGGAGUUGAUGGUCAGACUCUGACAGAGUCUGAACCAGCAGUAAAAAGACCUGGAGAAUCCCACAAACUGACCUGCACAGCCUCUGGAUUCACAUUCAGUGACCGCUGGAUGGUCUGGGUCAGACAGGCUGCUGGAAAACAACUGGAGUGGCUUGCAUUAAUUCAUCCAGGCAGUGACAGCACAUACUACUCUCAGUCAGUUCAAGGCAGGUUUACCAUCUCCAGAGACAACGGCCAGCAGCAGCUGUAUCUGCAGAUGAACAGCCUGAGAACAGAAGAUUCUGCUGUUUAUUAUUGCGCUCGAGAGGCACAGUGACUGAAGUCGGUUCAGCUGCUGUACAAAAACCUCAAUGCCUUCAAAUUUAUCUGGACAGAGUUUUUCCAAUAUCUUCCAGAGUAAGACUGUAAAUGUAAACAACCUGACACUGAGACAAAGAGAAAACUAAGCAUAAUAGGUUUGUGUUUGAUCAUAUCCGACUGUUCUAAUUACAAGAAGAACCAUUUUGUUUAUAU